rnacentral:misc_RNA from 1 species
CGGCGAUCUCUCGUUACCCUCGCAAUGACAAAGCGCACUAAGAAGGCCGGCAUUGUUGGCAAAUAUGGUACUCGAUAUGGUGCUAGUUUGAGGAAGCAAAUUAAGAAAAUGGAAGUUUCUCAGCAUGCAAAGUAUUUCUGUGAGUUCUGUGGGAAGUAUUCUGUUAAAAGAAAGGCAGUUGGGAUCUGGGGAUGCAAGGACUGUGGCAAGGUUAAGGCUGGGGGUGCUUAUACCUUGAACACUGCAAGCGCUGUCACUGUGAGGAGCACCAUUCGGCGUUUGAGGGAGCAGACCGAAAGUUAAAUCUUACAAACCGGUGGUGUCUCGGUUAUGUCAUUUGGUUCGGGAUGAUUUUGAAUUUAGUUUCUAAGAACUUUUAUGUCAGUGUUUUAUUAGUGCCUGGAUAUGUUGUGUUUUGAUUUUGGUGCCUGGAUCAAUUUAGAUGCUAAAGAACUUUAGUUUUAUUUGUUUUAAUUUUGGUGAUCUGAACUUCGAG